UGCGGAUUUGCCCAGAUGGUUGUCGUACAGCUUGGCUUUGAAGGUCAUGUCACUGGCCUUGGGGAACAUGCACUCCUCUUCAAGGAUGGACAUGAUACCCAUGGGCUGAUUUGAAAAGAAACGUCCAGAAUGACCCUCAGGAUGUAUACAAAAUUUAAAGACACAAAGACACUCACAUCAAAGAUUUCAAAGCCAGCAAUGUCCAGCACACCAAUGAAGUACUGGCGGGCCUGCUUGGUGUCCAGGGAUUGGUUGAUUCUCACCACCAUCCAGUUGAACAUUCUCUCAUACACUGACUUGGCCAGUGCACCGAUGGAGUAGUUCACCUGCGAGGAAAGAGACAAGGAGCAGACGCCUUUAUCCAUGGCGACUUACAGAGACUCGGGUGUGUGAACUAUGCGUCAGCUGCAGAGUCACUUACAACUACGUCUCACCCGAAAGACAGAGCACAAGGAGGUUAAGUGACUUGCUCAGGAUCACACAAUGAGUCAGUGGCUGAGGCAUGAAGCCCCUGGAAACCAUGUGUGAUGUUCGUUUGGUAAAGCUCUGUAGUUGAGUCUGAGAGCGCCACCAAGUGGAUCUGAGAGGAAGGGAAGAGAAAUAGCAGAAGGGACACUAAACCACAGCAGACAAGUUUUUCAGAAAGGUCCAUCUAAGAGCUUUACUCUUCAUCCAGCCCUUUCUGGAAGGGGAAGAGAGAGAGGGAGAGAGAGAGAGAGAGAGAGAGAGAGAGAGAGAGAGAAAGAAAAAGGAAGAAAGAGGGAAAACUGACUCAGCUCCAGCAUAGUUGGCAAAGAGGGUGGCGAGAAGCUUGAGGGCAGACUUCUGAUAGAGCCCGACCACAGUCUCAUUCAGCGGGUCCUUGUUCUUCAUCAG